GGAUUUAGCUUAGUGGUAGAGUGUGUGUUUAGUAUGCACAAGGCCCUGGAAUCAAUCCCCAGCACCA
rnacentral:tRNA from 1 species